rnacentral:rRNA from 1 species
UACGAAGGGGGCUAGCGUUGUUCGGAAUUACUGGGCGUAAAGCGCACGUAGGCGGACAUUUAAGUCAGGGGUGAAAUCCCGGGGCUCAACCCCGGAACGGCCUUUGAUACUGGGUGUCUUGAGUUCGGAAGAGGUGAGUGGAAUUGCGAGUGUAGAGGUGAAAUUCGUAGAUAUUCGCAGGAACACCAGUGGCGAAGGCGGCUCACUGGACUGGUAUUGACGCUGAGGCACGAAGGUCAGGGGAGCAAACGGG